rnacentral:rRNA from 1 species
AUUGAACGCUGGCGGCAGGCCUAACACAUGCAAGUCGAACGAGUGGCGGACGGGUGAGUAAUGUCUGGGAAACUGCCCGAUGGAGGGGGAUAACUACUGGAAACGGUAGAUAAUAACGCAUACCAUCGGAUGUGCCAAGAUGGGAUUAGCUAGUAGGUGGGGUAACGUGUCACCUAGGCGACGAUCCCUAGAUGGUAUGAGAGGAUGACCAGCCACACUGGAACUGAGACACGGUCCAGACGCCUACGGGAGGCAGCAGUGGGGAAUAUUGCAAAAUGGGCGCAAGCCUGAUGCAGCCAUGCCGCGUGUAUGAAGAAGGCCUUCGGGUUGUAAAGUACUUUCAGCGAGGAGGCGUUACUCGCAGAAGAAGCACCGGCUAACUCCGUGCCAGCAGCCGCGGUAAUAC